ACGAACGUUGGCGGCGUGCCUAAUACAUGCAAGUCGCGCGAAGUUUUUCUGGUGCUUGCACUAGAAAAACUUAGCGGCGAACGGGUGAGUAACACGUAAAGAACCUGCCUCAUAGACUGGGACAACUAUUGGAAACGAUAGCUAAUACCGGAUAACAGCAUUAACUGCAUGGUUGAUGUUUAAAAGUUGGUUUUGCUAACACUAUGAGAUGGCUUUGCGGUGCAUUAGCUAGUUGGUGGGGUAAAGGCCUACCAAGGCGACGAUGCAUAGCCGACCUGAGAGGGUGAUCGGCCACCCUGGGACUGAGACACGGCCCAGACUCCUACGGGAGGCAGCAGUAGGGAAUCUUCCGCAAUGGGCGAAAGCCUGACGGAGCAACGCCGCGUGAGUGAAGAAGGAUUUCGGUUCGUAAAGCUCUGUUGUUAGGGAAGAAUGAUUGUGUAGUAACUAUACACAGUAGAGACGGUACCUAACCAGAAAGCCACGGCUAACUACGUG
rnacentral:rRNA from 1 species